rnacentral:rRNA from 1 species
CACGUAGGGUGCAAGCGUUGUCCGGAUUCAUUGGGCGUAAGGGCUAGUAGGCGGCUUAGCAAGUCGGGUGUGAAAUUUCCAGGCUUAACCUGGAACCGCCAUCCGAUACUGCUACUGGCUAGAGUCCGGUAGGAGACCACGGAAUACCUGGUGUACGGUGAAAUCGCAGAUAUCAGGUGGAACACCGAUGCGAAGGCAGUGGUCUGGGCCGGCACUGACG